UAGUCCACGCCGUAAACGAUGAUUACUCGCUGUAGGCGAUACACAGUCUGUGGCUAAGCGAAAGUUUUAAGUAAUCCACCUGGGGAGUACGAUCGCAAGAUUGAAACUCAAAGGAAUUGACGGGGGCCCGCACAAGCGGAGGAACAUGUGGUUUAAUUCGAUGAUACGCGAGGAACCUUACCUGGACUUAAAUGUACGUUGCAUAGAUUGGAGACAGUCUUUUCUUCGGACUACGUACAAGGUGCUGCAUGGUUGUCGUCAGCUCGUGCCGUGAGGUGUCGGGUUAAGUCCCAUAACGAGCGCAACCCCUAUCCUUAGUUGCCAGCGGGUCAUGCCGGGGACUCUGAGGAGACUGCCACCGUAAGGUGUGAGGAAGGUGGGGAGUGACGUCAAAUCAGCACGGCCCUUAUGUCCAGGGCUACACACGUGUUACAAUGGACGGUACAGCGGGUAGCGAAACUGUAAAGUGGAGCCAAUCUUGUAAAGCCUAUCCCAGUUCGGAUUGGAGUCUGGAACUCGACUU
rnacentral:rRNA from 1 species